rnacentral:rRNA from 1 species
ACAGCUGGCGGCGUGCUUCAUACAUGCAAGUCGAGCGUGAACCCGGGGCUUGCCCCGGGGGAAAGCGGCGAACGGGUGAGUAACACGUGGGCAACCAACCCCAGCCUCUGGGAUAACCUCGGGAAACCGGGGCUAAUACCGGAUACUCUCGAUGGGUCGCAUGGCCCAACGAGGAAAGCUCCGGCGGACUGGGACGGGCCCGCGGCCUAUCAGCUUGUUGGCGGGGUAAUGGCCCACCAAGGCAUCGACGGGUAGCUGGCGUGAGAGCGUGACCAGCCACACUGGGACUGAGACACGGCCCAGACUCCUACGGGAGGCAGCAGUAGGGAAUCUUGCGCAAUGGGCGAAAGCCUGACGCAGCGACGCCGCGUGGGGGAUGAAGGCUCUUGGGUCGUAAACCCCUUUCGGCAGGGAAGAAGCGAAAGUGACGGUACCUGCAGAAGAAGCCCCGGCCAACUACGUGCCAGCAGCCGCGGUAACACGUAGGGGGCGAGCGUUGUCCGGAUUCAUUGGGCGUAAAGGGCGCGCAGGCGGCCCGGAAAGUCGGAUGUGAAAACUCGAGGCUCAACCUCGAGCGUGCAUCCGAUACUGCCGGGCUUGAGGCAGGUAGGGGAGAUCGGAAUUCCUGGUGUAGCGGUGAAAUGCGCAGAUAUCAGGAGGAACACCGGUGGCGAAGGCGGAUCUCUGGGCCUGUCCUGACGCUGANGCGCGAAAAGCUAGGGGGAGCGAAACAGGAUUAGAUACCCCUGGUAGUCCUAGCC